rnacentral:lncRNA from 1 species
CUGUUGACGGUUGUGCUCAUUUUUGUAUAUGUACAUAAAUUAUGAAUUAAUAAAAAUUAUUUUAGCAUUUUUCAUCACAAGAUGUUUCAUCUUCUAAUGAACUCCUAUGUUGUGGUGAAGUUCUUAGGACUAUUUAGACUCGACAAAGGAGGAUUUAUCGUUUAGUCCUUAAAUCUGUUCACGACCAAAUGAUAUGUUGUUACC